GUUUACUUCAAGUUAUUGUUGCUAAACCUGUUUCUACAUGUUACUGAAUUAGAGGGUGUACUUAUUUUUUCCC